rnacentral:rRNA from 2 species
UUAUACCGCGAAACUGCGAAUGGCUCAUUAAAUCAGUUAUCGUUUAUUUGAUAGUACCUUACUACAUGGAUAACCGUGGUAAUUCUAGAGCUAAUACAUGCUAAAAAUCCCGACUUCGGAAGGGAUGUAUUUAUUAGAUUAAAAACCAAUGCCCUUCGGGGCUCUCUGGUGAUUCAUAAUAACUUCUCGAAUCGCACGGCCUUGCGCCGGCGAUGGUUCAUUCAAAUUUCUGCCCUAUCAACUUUCGACGGCUGGGUCUUGGCCAGCCGUGGUGACAACGGGUAACGGAGGGUUAGGGCUCGACCCCGGAGAAGGAGCCUGAGAAACGGCUACUACAUCCAAGGAAGGCAGCAGGCGCGCAAAUUACCCAAUCCCGACACGGGGAGGUAGUGACAAUAAAUACUGAUACAGGGCUCUUUCGGGUCUUGUAAUUGGAAUGAGUACAAUUUAAAUCCCUUAACGAGGAACAAUUGGAGGGCAAGUCUGGUGCCAGCAGCCGCGGUAAUUCCAGCUCCAAUAGCGUAUAUUAAAGUUGUUGAGGUUAAAAAGCUCGUAGUUGAACCUUGGGCCUAGCCGGCCGGUCCGCCUCACCGCGUGCACUGGCUCGGCUGGGUCUUUCCUUCUGGAGAACCGCAUGCCCUUCACUGGGCGUGCCGGGGAACCAGGACUUUUACUCUGAAUAAAUUAGAUCGCUUAAAGAAGGCCUAUGCUCGAAUACAUUAGCAUGGAAUAAUAGAAUAGGACGUGUGGUUCUAUUUUGUUGGUUUCUAGGACCGCCGUAAUGAUUAAUAGGGACAGUCGGGGGCAUCAGUAUUCAAUUGUCAGAGGUGAAAUUCUUGGAUUUAUUGAAGACUAACUACUGCGAAAGCAUUUGCCAAGGAUGUUUUCAUUAAUCAGGAACGAAAGUUAGGGGAUCGAAGACGAUCAGAUACCGUCGUAGUCUUAACCAUAAACUAUGCCGAUUAGGGAUCGGACGGCGUUAUUUUUUGACCCGUUCGGCACCUUACGAUAAAUCAAAAUGUUGGGCUCC